UACAGAGGGUGCAAGCGUUAAUCGGAAUUACUGGGCGUAAAGCGUGCGUAGACGGUUAUGUAAGUCAGGUGUGAAAGCCCCGGACUCAACCUGGGAAUUGCAUUUGAGACUGCAUAGCUAGGGUGCGGAAGAGGGAAGCGGAAUUUCCGGUGUAGCGGUGAAAUGCGUAGAUAUCGGAAGGAACAUCAGUGGCGAAAGCGACUUCCUGGACCAGUACCGACGUUCAGGCACGAAAGCGUGGGGAGCAAACAGG
rnacentral:rRNA from 1 species